UACCAGCACCCCGAGUGGUCGGGACGUUUAUUGGGCCUAAAGCAUCCGUAGCCGGUUCUACGAGUCUUCCGUUAAAUCCAACUGCUUAACAGGUGGGCUGCGGAAGAUACUAUAGAGCUAGGAGGCGGGAGAGGCAAGCGGUACUCGAUGGGUAGGGGUAAAAUCCGUUGAUCCAUUGAAGACCACCAGUGGCGAAGGCGGCUUGCCAGAACACGCUCGACGGUGAGGGAUGAAAGCUGGGGGAGCAAACCGG
rnacentral:rRNA from 1 species